GUCCAAAACUGGUAGUUUAAUCAUAUUUCCCAAACCGCCCUGUCCUGCCUGAGUUCCAAGGACCAUGACCACCAUGACUGUCACAUACCUAGGUGCAGGGGACACAACAGCAAACAAGACACAGAAAAACCUCUGCCCUCUGAGAGCUGGCACUCAGCCAUACCUGUGUGUAUGGAGACGACAUACACGCCCAUGACCCACUAGGUUAAAGUGAAGGGCACUGCAGAGUUGAUUCUGGCAAUUACGUAGGGGUGGGCUGACAAUCUAUGGACUUCGUUUUGGGAUAGUGUGACUCCGCAAUGCUUCCUGUCAAGAGGUGGAUGAAUUACCACGCCCCCACCCCCUGCAACACGACUGGCUUUGGGCAAUCACUGAGCUGGAAGGGACGGCGUGCCUGCUCCGGGGCUUGGCCUCAAGAGUCGUUGCAUGCCUGUGCUCGCUCCCUUCUGGAACCCGGGCGCUGCCAUGUGAACCAGCCCAGGCUAGCCAACCAGAGGAUGAGACACAUGUGGAGCAGAGCCCAGUCGUGCCGGCCCAGCCAGUCGCCAGGCAGGCGACCCCUGAACAGAAGAGAGACGUGACUCAGAGAGGGUGUCCUGGAGGAGACCUCGUCGUGCAGCCUCGAGGGGCAGGACCCGGACGAGGGAGCCUGAGGGACAUCCUAGAGAAGCCCUGGGCUCUGAAUGGAGACUGUGACUUGGGAACUGGCGAACCACCAUCAUCACUGAGGAAAACUCCACGAGAACCAGACUCUCCUAAGGUAAGGGCGUUCAGUGUUUUGGGGACCAUGACCGACAGCAAAGCCACAUUUAACACUACCACCGAGCACACGCACAUGUAAUAGAGCGAAGCCCGGUGCGGGUUUUGUGAAAGAACACUUACCCCGGCUGGGAGGGUCUUGCUUUUAAAUGCUGGCAGCCCCCCAGUAAACUGACCUCAUCACCCACCAAAGCAGUGGGUCUCAAACCUGGCUGAACAUUACAUCCUCCUGAGGAGUUUCUAAAAUACCGAUGCCUGGCCCCCACCCCUAGAAGUUCUCCUGACCGGGUCUGCU